rnacentral:rRNA from 1 species
CACUACGACUUUCUAUAGUGGCGACCUGCCCCCGUUACUCUCAUGCUCCUCGGCCGCCAUGGNCUGNGGGAUCAACGUCUGCACCCAUGCCAUGACCGAGCGCUGGCGGCGCGCCUUAACACAUGCAAGUCGAGCGAGAACCAGACCUUCGGGUCUGGGGACAGCGGCGAACGGGUGAGUAACACGUGGGUGGGCCCCCCUCGGUACUGGGAUAGCCCGGGGAAACCCGGAUUAAUACCGGAUGGCCCUUCGGAUCUUCGGUUCUGAAGGACAAGGUAGCUCCGGNCUCUGUUUGCGGACGANCNNGNGGAGCCCCCCCUUGCCCCCGGGGUAACGGNCNACCAAGGCGGCAAACCCCCCCCGGACAGAGAGGACGACCCCCCCCCCGGCGGACGACACC